CCCUGAUUCACCUGCCCCUUCCUCCUCAGCUCUAGCUCCAGUACCACGAGAUGGUAACAAAGAAUCCAAGAGUUUUGUCUUAUCUGCAAAGAACAGUGCAAGUAGACUGAAUGAGGAAACAUAUCCCAAUAUAUUGCUAGAAGCAUUGCUUGGAAAUUCAAACAGAUCAGAAGCAAGAUUAAGUCCUGGGUAAAGAAUAAGGCUGGCCUAGAGAAACUCGUUGAAAAUUGCAAUGGCAACAGAGGUUCAGGCAAAACACAAUUGCACAUCUCCAGAGCAUGGGUGGGAGGACAAUUGUGGAUCAUGAAGAAAAAAGGUUCUCUGUUUUGGCGAGAAUUCAAGGCUAAACUAGGUUUUUCAACUGAGAGAAAUGCUCUUUGAUCUUAAUCAUCUCUUUGAAGGACUUAGGGUUCUUACAGAAGUACAGAACUAAUGUUACCUUUCCAGAACAGCCUCUAAUGAACUUCUACUUCUUAAAGAUGACUUAGAAGAAAUUAGAAAUCAAGCAACAAAAUGUUAUUAAGAGUCUGUUGAUUUAAACAAGACGUCGAGAUGCGACUACGCAAA